UCGAUUAUAUUUCGAGUAUUAUACAUUCUUUAAACCAUCAACAUUCUUUUUCUACGGAUCACUAUAUGCCUCUAUCGUCAUAAUAGUUCAAUAUUGUGAUGCCCCCAAAAUAGGUAUACAACACCCAUUCUGAGUCGCCAAAAUACAUGGUAUAGAAAGCAAACUACAAUUUUGAUAAUACAGAUGUCGUGUAGAAUACGACAAUACAACUGUGAGUUUAAAUACAAAUAUUGGCUUCUAGACAAUAUACACACCCAAAUAAGUCCUCAUUAAUUAUUCAUACACUAUUUUACAGAAAUAGUGAGGACAGCUAAAACAUCUUCCUAGAACUAUCACUCAUUACCCCGACUCGAUCCUGCUAUGUUCUCACCUCCUGAGAAGAAAA
rnacentral:lncRNA from 1 species